GGCCAGGUAGCUCAGUCGGUAGAGCAGGGGACUGAAAAUCCCCGUGUCCGUGGUUCGAUUCCACGCCUGGCCACCA
rnacentral:tRNA from 1 species